rnacentral:sRNA from 1 species
AUGACGUAAUUUUCCUGCGCCUCGGGACGAGCGGCGGCGCGCAAGGAAAAAUCGGGUUCCGUUUUUCCCGCGGAUUCUGGUGCCUGUGGGGCCGCUGACCCAACACCAUGAAGGAAACGCCACUCUCAAACUGCGAACGCCGCUUCCUACUCCGUGCCAUCGAAGAGAAGAAGCGGCUGGAUGGCAGACAAACCUAUGAUUAUAGGAACAUCAGGAUCUCAUUUGGAACAGAUUACGGAUGCUGCAUUGUGGAACUUGGAAAAACAAGAGUUCUUGGACAGGUUUCCUGUGAACUUGUGUCUCCAAAACUCAAUCGGGCAACAGAAGGUAUUCUUUUUUUUAACCUUGAACUCUCUCAGAUGGCGGCUCCAGCUUUCGAACCUGGCAGGCAGUCAGAUCUCUUGGUGAAGUUGAAUCGACUCUUGGAAAGAUGUCUAAGAAAUUCGAAGUGUAUAGACACUGAGUCUCUCUGUGUUGUUGCUGGUGAAAAGGUUUGGCAAAUACGUGUAGACCUACAUUUAUUAAAUCAUGAUGGAAAUAUUAUUGAUGCUGCCAGCAUUGCUGCAAUCGUGGCCUUAUGUCAUUUUCGAAGACCUGAUGUCUCUGUCCAAGGAGAUGAAGUAACACUGUAUACACCUGAAGAGCGUGAUCCUGUACCAUUAAGUAUCCACCACAUGCCCAUUUGUGUCAGUUUUGCCUUUUUCCAGCAAGGAACAUAUUUAUUGGUGGAUCCCAAUGAACGAGAAGAACGUGUGAUGGAUGGCUUGCUGGUGAUUGCCAUGAACAAACAUCGAGAGAUUUGUACUAUCCAGUCCAGUGGUGGGAUAAUGCUACUAAAAGAUCAAGUUCUGAGAUGCAGUAAAAUCGCUGGUGUGAAAGUAGCAGAAAUUACAGAGCUAAUAUUGAAAGCUUUGGAGAAUGACCAAAAAGUAAGGAAAGAAGGUGGAAAGUUUGGUUUUGCAGAGUCUAUAGCAAAUCAAAGGAUCACAGCAUUUAAAAUGGAAAAGGCCCCUAUUGAUACCUCGGAUGUAGAAGAAAAAGCAGAAGAAAUCAUUGCUGAAGCAGAACCUCCUUCAGAAGUUGUUUCUACACCUGUGCUAUGGACUCCUGGAACUGCCCAAAUUGGAGAGGGAGUAGAAAACUCCUGGGGUGAUCUUGAAGACUCUGAGAAGGAAGAUGAUGAAGGCGGUGGUGAUCAAGCUAUCAUUCUUGAUAGUAUAAAAAUGGACACUGGAGUAGAAGUCUCUGAUAUUGGAAGCCAAGUGUAUUCUUCUAACAGUGAAUAGUAUUUUCAACUGAAUAUAAUGAAGGUGGACC